rnacentral:rRNA from 1 species
AGUGAACGCUGGCGGUAGGCCUAACACAUGCAAGUCGAACGGCAGCACAGAGGAGCUUGCUCCUUGGGUGGCGAGUGGCGGACGGGUGAGGAAUACAUCGGAAUCUACCUUUUCGUGGGGGAUAACGUAGGGAAACUUACGCUAAUACCGCAUACGACCUACGGGUGAAAGCAGGGGACCUUCGGGCCUUGCGCGAUUGAAUGAGCCGAUGUCGGAUUAGCUAGUUGGCGGGGUAAAGGCCCACCAAGGCGACGAUCCGUAGCUGGUCUGAGAGGAUGAUCAGCCACACUGGAACUGAGACACGGUCCAGACUCCUACGGGAGGCAGCAGUGGGGAAUAUUGGACAAUGGGCGCAAGCCUGAUCCAGCCAUACCGCGUGGGUGAAGAAGGCCUUCGGGUUGUAAAGCCCUUUUGUUGGGAAAGAAAUCCAGCUGGCUAAUACCCGGUUGGGAUGACGGUACCCAAAGAAUAAGCACCGGCUAACUUCGUGCCAGCAGCCGCCGUAAGAC